rnacentral:rRNA from 1 species
UACCGCCCAAGAGUUCAUAUCGACGGCGGUGUUUGGCACCUCGAUGUCGGCUCAUCACAUCCUGGGGCUGAAGUAGGUCCCAAGGGUAUGGCUGUUCGCCAUUUAAAGUGGUACGCGAGCUGGGUUUAGAACGUCGUGAGACAGUUCGGUCCCUAUCUGCCGUGGGCGCUGGAGAAUUGAGGGGGGCUGCUCCUAGUACGAGAGGACCGGAGUGGACGCAUCACUGGUGUUCGGGUUGUCAUGCCAAUGGCACUGCCCGGUAGCUAAAUGCGGAAGAGAUAAGUG